UUCGUUCAUCUUAUAUUUUAUAUAAGACGGAAGUAGGAAACCUGAAAACCUCUUUCUAUUCAGAAAGGCAAGCAAGUACCCGCAAGGGGAACGAGACCGAAAGUUUACCGAAGGAACGCUAU
rnacentral:ncRNA from 10 species